CCUACGGGAGGCAGCAGUGGGGAAUAUUGCGCAAUGGGCGAAAGCCUGACGCAGCGACGCCGCGUGAGGGAUGAAGGUCUUCGGAUCGUAAACCUCUGUCAGCAGGGAAGAACGGUCACUGUGCUAAUCAGCAGUGAAUUGACGGUACCUGCAAAGGAAGCACCGGCUAACUCCGUGCCAGCAGCCGCGGUAAUACGGAGGGUGCGAGCGUUAAUCGGAAUUACUGGGCGUAAAGCGCUCGUAGGCGGUAUGUCAAGUCAAGGGGGAAAUCCCCGCGCUCAACGUGGGAACUGCCUUUGAAACUGGCAAACUGGAGUGGGUGAGAGGAUAGUGGAAUGCCAGGUGUAGGAGUGAAAUCCGUAGAUAUCUGGAGGAACAUCAGUGGCGAAGGCGACUAUCUGGCACAUAACUGACGCUGAGGAGCGAAAGCGUGGGUAGCAAACAGGAUUAGAUACCCCUGUAGUC
rnacentral:rRNA from 1 species